rnacentral:rRNA from 1 species
ACUUAUAUUCUGUAGCAAGGUUAACCGAAUAGGGGAGCCGAAGGGAAACCGAGUCUUAACCGGGCGUUAAGUUGCAGGGUAUAGACCCGAAACCCGGUGAUCUAGCCAUGGGCAGGUUGAAGGUUGGGUAACACUAACUGGAGGACCGAACCGACUAAUGUUGAAAAAUUAGCGGAUGACUUGUGGCUGGGGGUGAAAGGCCAAUCAAACCGGGAGAUAGCUGGUUCUCCCCGAAAGCUAUUUAGGUAGCGCCUCGUGAAUUCAUCUCCGGGGGUAGAGCACUGUUUCGGCAAGGGGGUCAUCCCGACUUACCAACCCGAUGCAAACUGCGAAUACCGGAGAAUGUUAUCACGGGAGACACACGGCGGGUGCUAACGUCCGUCGUGAAGAGGGAAACAACCCAGACCGCCAGCUAAGGUCCCAAAGUCAUGGUUAAGUGGGAAACGAUGUGGGAAGGCCCAGACAGCCAGGAUGUUGGCUUAGAAGCAGCCAUCAUUUAAAGAAAGCGUAAUAGCUCACUGGUCGAGUCGGCCUGCGCGGAAGAUGUAACGGGGCUAAACCAUGCACCGAAGCUGCGGCAGCGACACUGUGUGUUGUUGGGUAGGGGAGCGUUCUGUAAGCCUGUGAAGGUGUCUGUGAGGAUGCUGGAGGUAUCAGAAGUGCGAAUGCUGACAUAAGUAACGAUAAAGCGGGUGAAAAGCCCGCUCGCCGGAAGACCAAGGGUUCCUGUCCAACGUUAAUCGGGGCAGGGUGAGUCGACCCCUAAGGCGAGGCCGAAAGGCGUAGUCGAUGGGAAACAGGUUAAUAUUCCUGUACUUGGUGUUACUGCGAAGGGGGGACGGAGAAGGCUAUGUUGGCCGGGCGACGGUUGUCCCGGUUUAAGCGUGUAGGCUGGUUUUCCAGGCAAAUCCGGAAAAUCAAGGCUGAGGCGUGAUGACGAGGCACUACGGUGCUGAAGCAACAAAUGCCCUGCUUCCAGGAAAAGCCUCUAAGCAUCAGGUAACAUCAAAUCGUACCCCAAACCGACACAGGUGGUCAGGUAGAGAAUACCAAGGCGCUUGAGAGAACUCGGGUGAAGGAACUAGGCAAAAUGGUGCCGUAACUUCGGGAGAAGGCACGCUGAUAUGUAGGUGAAGUCCCUCGCGGAUGGAGCUGAAAUCAGUCGAAGAUACCAGCUGGCUGCAACUGUUUAUUAAAAACACAGCACUGUGCAAACACGAAAGUGGACGUAUACGGUGUGACGCCUGCCCGGUGCCGGAAGGUUAAUUGAUGGGGUCAGCGCAAGCGAAGCUCUUGAUCGAAGCCCCGGUAAACGGCGGCCGUAACUAUAACGGUCCUAAGGUAGCGAAAUUCCUUGUCGGGUAAGUUCCGACCUGCACGAAUGGCGUAAUGAUGGCCAGGCUGUCUCCACCCGAGACUCAGUGAAAUUGAACUCGCUGUGAAGAUGCAGUGUACCCGCGGCAAGACGGAAAGACCCCGUGAACCUUUACUAUAGCUUGACACUGAACAUUGAGCCUUGAUGUGUAGGAUAGGUGGGAGGCUUUGAAGUGUGGACGCCAGUCUGCAUGGAGCCGACCUUGAAAUACCACCCUUUAAUGUUUGAUGUUCUAACGUGGACCCGUGAUCCGGGUUGCGGACAGUGUCUGGUGGGUAGUUUGACUGGGGCGGUCUCCUCCUAAAGAGUAACGGAGGAGCACGAAGGUUGGCUAAUCCUGGUCGGACAUCAGGAGGUUAGUGCAAUGGCAUAAGCCAGCUUGACUGCGAGCGUGACGGCGCGAGCAGGUGCGAAAGCAGGUCAUAGUGAUCCGGUGGUUCUGAAUGGAAGGGCCAUCGCUCAACGGAUAAAAGGUACUCCGGGGAUAACAGGCUGAUACCGCCCAAGAGUUCAUAUCGACGGCGGUGUUUGGCACCUCGAUGUCGGCUCAUCACAUCCUGGGGCUGAAGUAGGUCCCAAGGGUAUGGCUGUUCGCCAUUUAAAGUGGUACGCGAGCUGGGUUUAGAACGUCGUGAGACAGUUCGGUCCCUAUCUGCCGUGGGCGCUGGAGAACUGAGGGGGGCUGCUCCUAGUACGAGAGGACCGGAGUGGACGCAUCACUGGUGUUCGGGUUGUCAUGCCAAUGGCACUGCCCGGUAGCUAAAUGCGGAAGAGAUAAGUGCUGAAAGCAUCUAAGCACGAAACUUGCCCCGAGAUGAGUUCUCCCUGACCCUUUAAGGGUCCUGAAGGAACGUUGAAGACGACGACGUUGAUAGGCCGGGUGUGUAAGCGCAGCGAUGCGUUGAGCUAACCGGUACUAAUGAACCGUGAGGCUUAACCUU